rnacentral:misc_RNA from 1 species
GCAAAUCUCCUUGGGCUCCUUGGGCCCGUGGGACUGUAGGACGGACUUUGAAGACAUGUUCACCGAUGUGUUCACCGGUUUCACCGGUAGUAAUUGUUCAUCAAAUGGCAGGACUUCUUUCAGAAAAAGCGUCGCCAACCAACAAUCAGAAGAAUCUGCCCCUUGCAGAGAAAGCCAAGCCCCUGCACUCUUGGAUGUCCUGCAUUGUAGUAACGUGAAGACAGGGCAUCAUCAUGGUGAACAAUCUCUGCACGGGUAAAUGUCAAUAACAAGCAUGCACAAUGUGGUCAUCAAUGAUACCGCUGGCAAAAUGAUUUGACUUCAAGGCUCCUUCAAAGUUUUCCAGGAGGACAUGGGUCCUAAUAGGCUUUUGAUGCCUGGUGGUGUAAUCACAAAGAAAGGUCGUCUGCACAGCUUGAUGGAAGAUGGCCACAUGAAUCCUGAUGGGCUUUUGAUGCCUGAUGGUGUAAUUGCAUAAAGAAAGGGCAUCAGCACGGUGAACCGUUUUUGCACAGCUUGCUGGAAGAAGGCCACAUGAACCCUGAUGGGCUUUUGAUGCCUGGUGUAAUCGCAUAAAGAAAGGGGAUCACUAUGGUGAACAGUCUCUGCACAGCUUGAUGGAAGAUGGCCACAUGAACCCUGAUGGGCUUUUGAUGCCUGGUGUAAUCGCAUAAAGAAAGGGGAUCACUAUGGUGAACAGUCUCUGCACAGCUUGAUGGAAGAUGGCCACAUGAACCCUGAUGGGCUUUUGAUGCCUGGUGUAAUCGCAUAAAGAAAGGGGACCACUAUGGUGAACAGUCUCUGCACAGCUUGAUGGAAGAUGGCCACAUGAACCCUGAUGGGCUUUUGAUGGCUCAUGUUUCUGUCAAAUGACGAGGGGUCGUCAACAUGUCUCCAUUUUCGUGCAGAGGUCAACCUGAAGUCAAAACUCAAAUUACUACAUGCUUAGAGGUGGCAUUCAUGUUUUCAGAAGCAGUUAGUUUUAUUCUCGUGUCUCAUGGUUCCUUAAGUUUUCUGUAAUGCUCUCAUACCUACAUUGUUUGAUCAGCUGUGAUAUCAAAUCUUUACUGAUAAUGCCGUCUGAGCAAUUCUGUGAGAAGAGAGUUCAGUUUGCAUGCAAAAUCUUUGAUGUGGGUGUCCUUUCUCUUUGCAGAGGUCAAUCUGUCUGAAAUGAUGAGAUGCUUAGAGGCAACAUUCAUCUUCCAAAAUGUGAAGUCAAUCGGAAAUGAAAACUGAAAUAACGACCUGCUCAGAGGCAACAUUCGUCUUCCAAAAUGCAAGGUUAAUCUGAGGAGAAAACUGAAAUGACGACAUGCUCAGAGGCGACAUUCAUCUUCCAAAAUGCAAGCUCAAUCUGUCCGAAAUGAUGACAUGCUCAGAGGCAACAUUCAUCUUUCAAAAUGCAAGCUCAAUCUGUCCGAAAUGAUGACAUGCUCAGAGGCGACAUUCAUCUUUCAAAAUGCAAGCUCAAUCUGUCCGAAAUGAUGACAUGCUCAGAGGCGACAUUCAUCUUCCAAAAUGCAAGGUUAAUCUGAGGAGAAAACUGAAAUGACGACAUGCUCAGAGGCGACAUUCAUCUUCCAAAAUGCAAGCUCGAUCUGUCCGAAAUGAUGACAUGCUCAGAGGCAACAGUCAUCUUCC